rnacentral:rRNA from 1 species
UACGGGGGGGGGCAAGCGUUGUUCGGAAUUACUGGGCGUAAAGGGCUCGUAGGCGGCCAACUAAGUCAGACGUGAAAUCCCUCGGCUUAACCGGGGAACUGCAUCUGAUACUGGAUGGCUUGAGAUUGGGAGAGGGAUGCGGAAUUCCAGGUGUAGCGGUGAAAUGCGUAGAUAUCUGGAGGAACACCGGUGGCGAAGGCGGCAUCCUGGACCGACACUGACACUGAGGAGCGAAAGCCAGGGGAGCAAACGGG